rnacentral:rRNA from 1 species
UACAGAGGGGGCAAGCGUUGUUCGGAAUUACUGGGCGUAAAGCGUGCGCAGGCGGUUUUGUAGGCCAGAUGUGAAAUCCCCGGGCUUAACCUGGGAAUGGCAUUUGGGACUGCAAGGCUUGAGUGCGGCAGAGGAGACUGGAAUUCCUGGUGUAGCAGUGAAAUGCGUAGAUAUCAGGAGGAAUACCGAUGGCGAAGGCAGGUCUCUGGGCUGACACUGACGCUCAUGCACGAAAGCGUGGGGAGCAAACAGG